UACGUAGGGUGCGAGCGUUGUCCGGAAUUACUGGGCGUAAAGAGCUCGUAGGGGGUUUGUCGCGUUGUUCGUGAAAACUCACAGCUUAACUGUGGGCGUGCGGGCGAUACGGGCAGACUGGAGUACUGCAGGGGAGACUGGAAUUCCUGGUGUAGCGGUGGAAUGCGCAGAUAUCAGGAGGAACACCGGUGGCGAAGGCGGGUCUCUGGGCAGUAACUGACGCUGAGGAGCGAAAGCGUGGGGAGCGAACAGG
rnacentral:rRNA from 1 species